rnacentral:rRNA from 1 species
GGCGAACGGGUGAGUAACACGUGGGUGAUCUGCCUUGCACUCUGGGAUAAGCUUGGGAAACUGGGUCUAAUACCGGAUAGGAACCGUCUUUAGUGUGGUGGUUGGAAAGUUUUUCGGUGCAAGAUGAGCUCGCGGCCUAUCAGCUUGUUGGUGGGGUAAUGGCCUACCGAGGCGUCGACGGGUAGCCGGCCUGAGAGGGUGUACGGCCACAUUGGGACUGAGAUACGGCCCAG